GAUGAACGCUGGCGGCGUGCCUAAUACAUGCAAGUCGAGCGAACAGACGAGGAGCUUGCUCCUUUGACGUUAGCGGCGGACGGGUGAGUAACACGUGGGUAACCUAUCUAUAAGACUGGGAUAACUUCGGGAAACCGGAGCUAAUACCGGAUAAUAUUUCGAACCGCAUGGUUCGAUAGUGAAAGAUGGCUUUGCUAUCACUUAUAGAUGGACCUGCGCCGUAUUAGCUAGUUGGUAAGGUAACGGCUUACCAAGGCAACGAUACGUAGCCGACCUGAGAGGGUGAUCGGCCACACUGGAACUGAGACACGGUCCAGACUCCUACGGGAGGCAGCAGUAGGGAAUCUUCCGCAAUGGGCGAAAGCCUGACGGAGCAACGCCGCGUGAGUGAUGAAGGUCUUCGGAUCGUAAAACUCUGUUAUUAGGGAAGAACAAACGUGUAAGUAACUGUGCACGUCUUGACGGUACCUAAUCAGAAAGCCACGGCUAACUACGUG
rnacentral:rRNA from 1 species